UCCAUACUUCAACCCAUGCUAUUAACGUCAAAACUGCCUUAAUUGUUCAAAAUAAAAAAGAUGUAAUUAAAUCGCUUUAUGGUAAAAAUAUCAGCAAAAUAACAUAAUGCCCCUCUCGGCAAACUUUCGACGAGAAAUGUUAACGGCUAUUAAGAAUGCAAAGAAGAAAAA